CGAUUUUUUAUAGAGAGAUAAGACGCAUCAAGAGAACUUCCGCUUCUCCGUCGCAUCUUCACAGCUCGUCUGCCGAGGCCUCUGCUCCUUGAGUGCUCCGGGAAAGGCCAACAAAUGUAGUGGCUGUAAGAGAUGCUUUAUAUGAGGCUACUACUGGUUGCACUUAGGAUUUCAAGCUUGCAUCUGAGAUUAUAAAAACUUUGGGGGCAAAGAGCGAGUCCACUUUGUUCAUUCAGCUUGUGAUGAAAUAGUUGCAACUGCUACAGCUACAAGUAAAUGAUUUGAAUUAGAAAGGCAAUAUUUAUGAAAGGCAAUAUUUAUAGUUAAUUUCAAAGAAGGCUCUCAUACCAUAGUCAAAAUGGUUGAUACAUUGGAAGAUAUUACCCCACAGGACUUUUGGGAUCUUGCCCCAGUACUACCAGAUGAUUUCAAUGACAAUGAAAUUCUAACAAUUCCAAAAGCAGUAAACAUAAGGUCCACUGUUGAGACU